GAGUAAUGCUUAGGAAUCUGCCUAUUAGUGGGGGACAACAUCUCGAAAGGGAUGCUAAUACCGCAUACGUCCUACGGGAGAAAGCAGGGGAUCACUUGUGACCUUGCGCUAAUAGAUGAGCCUAAGUCGGAUUAGCUAGUUGGUGGGGUAAAGGCCUACCAAGGCGACGAUCUGUAGCGGGUCUGAGAGGAUGAUCCGCCACACUGGGACUGAGACACGGCCCAGACUCCUACGGGAGGCAGCAGUGGGGAAUAUUGGACAAUGGGGGGAACCCUGAUCCAGCCAUGCCGCGUGUGUGAAGAAGGCCUUAUGGUUGUAAAGCACUUUAAGCGAGGAGGAGGCUCUUUUGGUUAAUACCCAAGAUGAGUGGACGUUACUCGCAGAAUAAGCACCGGCUAACUCUGUGCCAGCAGCCGCGGUAAUACAGAGGGUGCAAGCGUUAAUCGGAUUUACUGGGCGUAAAGCGCGCGUAGGCGGCCAAUUAAGUCAAAUGUGAAAUCCCCGAGCUUAACUUGGGAAUUGCAUUCGAUACUGGUUGGCUAGAGUGUGGGAGAGGAUGGUAGAAUUCCAGGUGUAGCGGUGAAAUGCGUAGAGAUCUGGAGGAAUACCGAUGGCGAAGGCAGCCAUCUGGCCUAACACUGACGCUGAGGUGCGAAAGCAUGGGGAGCAAACAGGAUUAGAUACCCUGGUAGUCCAUGCCGUAAACGAUGUCUACUAGCCGUUGGGGCCUUUGAGGCUUUAGUGGCGCAGCUAACGCGAUAAGUAGACCGCCUGGGGAGUACGGUCGCAAGACUAAAACUCAAAUGAAUUGACGGGGGCCCGCACAAGCGGUGGAGCAUGUGGUUUAAUUCGAUGCAACGCGAAGAACCUUACCUGGCCUUGACAUAGUAGAAACUUUCCAGAGAUGGAUUGGUGCCUUCGGGAAUCUACAUACAGGUGCUGCAUGGCUGUCGUCAGCUCGUGUCGUGAGAUGUUGGGUUAAGUCCCGCAACGAGCGCAACCCUUUUCCUUACUUGCCAGCAUUUCGGAUGGGAACUUUAAGGAUACUGCCAGUGACAAACUGGAGGAAGGCGGGGACGACGUCAAGUCAUCAUGGCCCUUACGGCCAGGGCUACACACGUGCUACAAUGGUCGGUACAAAGGGUUG
rnacentral:rRNA from 1 species